rnacentral:rRNA from 1 species
ACCUACGGGGGGCAGCAGUGAGGAAUUUUCCGCAAUGGUCGCAAGACUGACGGAGCAACGCCGCGUGCAGGAGGACGCUUUUCGGAGUGUAAACUGCUUUUCUGUGGGAAGAGGCAGGACGGUACCACAGGAAGAAGCCCCGGCUAACUACGUGCCAGCAGCCGCGGUAAUACGUAGGGGGCGAGCGUUGUCCGGAGUUACUGGGCGUAAAGGGCACGCAGGCGGUGCGGCGCGUUUCGCGUGACAGCGGAGGGCUUACCUCUCCGAGGAUGCGAAAGACGGCGGCACUUGAGGGCCAGAGAGGGACACGGAAUUCCGGGUGGAGUGGUGAAAUGCGUAGAGAUCCGGAGGAACACCGAAGGCGAAGGCAGUGUCCUGGCUGGUGACUGACGCUGAGGUGCGAAAGCUAGGGGAGCGAACGGGAUUAGAUACCCCGGU